CAAAACGCCGUGGCUUCAUUUGUGGUGGCUAUUUUCGCCGGAGAGCAAAACAGAAGAAAUAACUGGCAAUUGUGUAUAAAAUUGCUUCACUGAACUUGUCUGCUCCCUUUGGAAUGGAAUCUCAUGGUGGAAUACCCUAUGAUGUCCACUUCGCAAGGCACUUAUGAAUGGAACACACCUUGUUUGUCAAGACGGUGGCACCUCAGAUAAAUUGCGCUGUUCCAGAGAGCUGGACUGCAGCGCUCAUGUCCUCAUGCCACCGCGACUCAAGAUGAAGAGAUCGCAACCCUGCGUUCAUUAUUCAGAGAUGCUGGAGCGAGCCAGGUAGCAACACCUGAGUGAAACCUGAGGGUCAGGCUCGACACAGAGCUAGACUUUAUUAUUGCUCUGCUGGAGAACUGCAUUAAUGCAUUAGAAUUUCACACAUAAGUAGAUAUGCUGUGGCCCUAAGCAAGUAUUUGCACACUUUAGCAACACAUUCAAUGGAUUUAACUGAAUUAAGAUGAUUUAACUGAAUUAAGAUGAUUUUGCUGUGAUGUAACCAGCUUGAUGAUUUAAUGUACAUUAUAGUGUACACAAGGAAUUAACACUUUUCAGCAAGGACACA